rnacentral:rRNA from 1 species
AGUGAACGCUGGCGGUAGGCCUAACACAUGCAAGUCGAACGGCAGCACAGGAGAGCUUGCUCUCUAGGUGGCGAGUGGCGGACGGGUGAGGAAUACAUCGGAAUCUGCCCAGUCGUGGGGGAUAACGUAGGGAAACUUACGCUAAUACCGCAUACGACCUUCGGGUGAAAGAGGGGGAUCGCAAGACCUCUCGCGAUUGGAUGAGCCGAUGUCGGAUUAGCUAGUUAGCGGGGUAAUGGCCCACCAAGGCGACGAUCCGUAGCUGGUCUGAGAGGAUGAUCAGCCACACUGGAACUGAGACACGGUCCAGACUCCUACGGGAGGCAGCAGUGGGGAAUAUUGGACAAUGGGCGCAAGCCUGAUCCAGCCAUACCGCGUGGGUGAAGAAGGCCUUCGGGUUGCAAAGCCCUUUUGUUGGGAAAGAAAUCUUUCAGGCUAAUACCCUGGGAGGAUGACGGUACCCAAAGAAUAAGCACCGGCUAACUUCGUG